CAUUGAAGAUAGUUUGCAUGACGCAUGCGAUAAUGUACUCGGACGAAGUGCGUAGUUACCAGUCGGAAUUAUGCUCAAUGAAGUAUUCACAUAUUAUUUCUGCUUCAAAUAAAUUCACAAACUAAACAUAUUCACCAAUCAA